UAUAAAAGUGCCCUGUGCGCUCGUGCCCUCCCGUUCGUCCUCAGUGCAGGAUAACGAGAACAGCUUGUUAGCUUCAGCGCCACUUUAAAGCGUUUAAACUCCAAACAAUUCACCAAUAAACAUCUCUGACUCCUACAGAACAGAGCAGUAAAUCUUCAGAUUCGGACCAUCAUGGACGCCUUCAUCCGCUGUCCUUUCCUGUCCCGCGUCCCCCAGACGUUCCUCCAGCAGGCGAGGAAGACUCUGGUGAGCUACGCCGUGAAAUGUCCCGUGAUGAUGGACCUGGCAUCCAAGCCGCUCGUCCGCUCCAUCUGCUCCUCUUCCUCCGUCUUCCAGAAGAGUGAUGAUGUCAUCAGCACGGAGGCUGAAAAAGCCCCUGAAAUGCCAGCAGGUCACCCCAAACCUGCAGCGGGGGCAACGUCAUCCAAGUGCCCCUUCCUGGCAGCUGAGAUGGGUCAGAAGAACAGCGGCGUGGUGCGCGAGGCCAGCAUGGAGCUGCAGGAGGACGUCUCUGAAAUCCGAACCGUGCAGCAAGAUGUUUCUGCAGUGGAGCUGGCGAAUAGCGUGAAGCCUGAUGGGAGUCUGAUGAAGAAACUGCUGAAGCAGCGUCCAGCAAGGGUUUCACAUCUGCUACAGGAGAACAUGCCUAAAGCCGUCUCCAACUUUCGCUAUGACGAGUUCUUCGAGAAGAAGAUCGAGGCGAAGAAAGACGACCACACGUACCGCGUGUUUAAGACGGUGAACCGGCGCGCCACCGAGUUCCCCAUGGCAGACGAUUACUCUGAGUCUCUGAACUGUAAGAGAGACGUGUCGGUGUGGUGCAGUAACGAUUACCUGGGGAUGAGUCGCCACCCGCGCGUGGUUCAGACCGUGAUGGACACGCUACAGAAACAUGGCUCCGGUGCUGGAGGAACGCGGAACAUCUCGGGGACGAGUAAAUUUCACGUGAAUCUGGAACACGAGCUCGCUGGCCUUCACGGGAAAGACGCAGCGCUGCUGUUCACUUCCUGUUUUGUGGCCAAUGAUUCCACUCUGUUUACUCUGGCCAAGAUAAUGCCAGGAUGUGAGAUUUACUCGGAUGCCGGAAACCACGCCUCCAUGAUCCAGGGGAUACGUAACAGCGGCGCAAAGAAGUUCAUCUUCCGUCACAACGACGUGAAUCAUCUGCGUGAACUUCUGGAGAAAUCGGAUCGUUCCGCUCCGAAGAUCGUGGCCUUCGAGACGGUGCACUCUAUGGACGGUGCCGUGUGUCCCCUGGAGGAGAUGUGUGACGUCGCGCACGAGUUCGGAGCCAUUACGUUCGUGGAUGAGGUUCAUGCUGUGGGUUUGUACGGUGCGAGAGGGGGCGGGAUCGGGGACCGCGACGGAGUCAUGCACAAGAUGGAUAUCAUCUCUGGAACGCUCGGGAAGGCAUUUGGUUGUGUAGGAGGCUACAUUGCCAGUACGAGUACGCUGGUGGACACGGUGCGCUCGUACGCCGCAGGCUUCAUCUUCACCACGUCUCUGCCUCCCAUGCUGCUGGCCGGAGCUCGAGAGUCCAUCCGCAUCCUGAAGGGAGAGGAAGGUCGUGUGUUACGCCGUAAACACCAGCGCAACGUUAAACUGCUGCGGCAGAUGCUGCUGGACUCGGGGCUGCCGGUGGUGCACUGCCCCAGCCACAUCAUUCCUAUAAGGGUGUCGAAUGCGGAGAAGAACACGGCCGUGUGUGACAUCAUGAUGAACCGCUACAACAUCUACGUCCAGGCUAUCAAUUAUCCCACCGUCGCCCGUGGCGACGAACUCCUCCGCAUCGCUCCUACGCCACAUCACACACCACAGAUGAUGAAAUAUUUUGUCGGUAAGUCAAAUUAAACCGCAUGUUACUUGGUGAUGCUGGAUAAGUAGCCUGUUGUGUUUGGCUAGGUUUGGCUGUGAUGCUAGCUAACGUGUGUGUGUGUGUGUGUACAGAGAAGCUGUUGGAGGCGUGGCAGGAAGUGGGUCUGGAGCUGAAGCCUCACUCCUCGGCUGAGUGUAACUUCUGUCAGCAGCCGCUGCACUUCGAGCUGAUGAGCGAGCGAGAGAAGUCGUACUUCAGCGGUCUGAGUCACCCCGUGUCGGCCUGCGCGUAAAACAC